GUGGGGAAUCUUGCGCAAUGGGCGGAAGCCUGACGCAGCGACGCCGCGUGCGGGAAGAAGGCCUUCGGGUUGUAAACCGCUUUCAGGAGGGACGAAGCCACUCGGGUGAAUAGCCCAGAGGGUGACGGUACCUUCAGAAGAAGCCCCGGCUAACUACGUGCCAGCAGCCGCGGUAAUACGUAGGGGGCCAGCGUUGUCCGGAUUCAUUGGGCGUAAAGCGCGUGUAGGCGGCUGGGUAGGUCUGAUGUGAAAACUCGAGGCUCAACCUCGAGACGUCGUCGGAAACCACCCGGCUAGAGUCCGGAAGAGGAGAGCGGAAUUCCUGGUGUAGCGGUGAAAUGCGCAGAUAUCAGGAAGAACACCAAUGGCGAAGGCAGCUCUCUGGGACGGUACUGACGCUGAGACGCGAAAGCGUGGGGAGCGAACAGGAUUAGAUACCCGAGUAGUCC
rnacentral:rRNA from 1 species